rnacentral:rRNA from 1 species
AUUGAACGCUGGCGGAAUGCUUUACACAUGCAAGUUGAACGGUAGAGGGGGCAACCCCUUGAGAGUGGCGAACGGGUGAGUAAUAUAUCGGAACGUGCCCAGUCGUGGGGGAUAACGUAGUGAAAAUUACGCUAAUACCGCAUACGAUCUAAGGAUGAAAGCGGGGGAUCGCAAGACCUCGCGCGAUUGGAGCGGCCGAUAUCAGAUUAGGUAGUUGGUAGGGUAAAGGCCUACCAAGCCAACGAUCUGUAGCUGGUCUGAGAGGACGACCAGCCACACUGGACCGUGGACACGGUCCAGACUCCUACGGGAGGCAGCAGUGGGGAAUUUUGGACAAUGGGCGAAAGCCUGAUCCAGCCAUUCCGCGUGCAGGAUGAAGGCCCUCGGGUUGUAAACUGCUUUUGUACAGAACGAAAAGGUCUCUAUUAAUACUAGGGGCUCAUGACGGUACUGUAAGAAUAAGCACCGGCUAACUACGUGCCAGCCGCCGCCGUAA